rnacentral:rRNA from 1 species
UACGUAGGGGGCAAGCGUUGUCCGGAUUUAUUGGGCGUAAAGAGCGUGUAGGCGGCCUGAAAGGUCAGCUGUGAAAACUCGAGGCUCAACCUCGAGACGUCGGUUGAAACCGUAUGGCUAGAGUCCGGAAGAGGAGAGUGGAAUUCCCGGUGUAGCGGUGAAAUGCGCAGAUAUCGGGAGGAACACCUGUGGCGAAAGCGGCUCACUGGACCACAACUGACGCUGAGGCGCGAAAGCUAGGGGAGCAAACAGG